GAUGAACGCUGACAGAAUGCUUAACACAUGCAAGUCAUUGGCGAAGCUGCGCUUGCGCAGUCUAGCCAAGGCGGACGGGUGAGUAACGCGUAAGGAACUUGCCCUGCAGACAGGGAUAACAGACGGAAACGACUGAUAACACCUGGUAUUGUCAGGCUGGCGCAUGCCGGCCUGAUGAAAGGAGACGCUGCAGGAGAGCCUUGGGUCCUAUUAGCUAGUUGGUGGGGUAACGGCCCACCAAGGCGACGAUAGGUAGCCGGCCUGAGAGGGUGAACGGCCACAAGGGGACUGGGAGACGGCCCUUACUCUUACGGGAGGCAGCAGUGGGGAAUAUUGGACAAUGGGGGCAACACUGAUCCAGCAAUUCUGUGUGCACGAAGAAGGUUUUCGGAUUGUAAAGUGCUUUCAGCAGGGAAGAAGAAAGUGACGGUACCUGCAGAAGAAGCGACGGCUAAAUACGUG
rnacentral:rRNA from 1 species